UUCACAGUUAAAAAUACAAAGGAAAAUGCAGAAGAGGAGAAUGAGGAAUUAUUCUGCCGAGGGUCCAUCAAGUGGCCCAAUCUUACGUAAGAGCUUUUAUGUAAGCCUGAUGAUGCGCGUUCACCCCCAGAACCCAUGAGAGCAAAAGAGAAUGCAGAGACCACAUCAGAAGACCCAACUCUGGUUCCCAGCACCCGUGUCCAUCAGCUGAAACUUCCUAUAAAUCUAGCUUUAGGAGAGUCAAGGUCCUCUUCUUCCAUUGGCAGAUACCUGAACAUACACACAGUGUGUAUCUUUUUUAGAUCCUUUCAUUUGUGGAUCAAGAAUUUCUAUAAGAAAAAAAGGCUGUGUUCUAAAAACAAGACUGGGAAGCUCUGCUCUUUCCCUUUCCAGCCAGUGUCAAGCAAUGGGCAUCUCUUGGGGCAACACAAGCACCACAAACUGGGAACAAAAGAAAGCACCUCCACACCACAAGAGCUAGCAGUGUGAGCUAGAGCUGCCAACGCUAAGCCUGGCCUGUAUCACAUAUACAGUCUGAGUUUGAGAAGACAAAAAAUGUCAUGCCCUGAGAUUGGAUGCGGGAAACUUCUCCUAGGGCUCUGUGUGUUGAGCUAAAAAACAAACAACCAACCCAAGGAUCACUGUGUACAAGGCAUUCAGUGACAAGCUGGCCUGCAUCAACACCUGUGAGUAUAUUUAUAAUUAAUGGCCACGGUUCUUCUCUAAUUGAGACAUCGGCAGUUGGGGUGUCGGUGAAAGUUGUCUCUUCCUGUGUGAACUACGUCCCAGGAGCCUACAGAAAAGCGCUGGCUUCUCAAGCCCCUAGGAAGGUGCCUGGCUCCUCCACCUUUGUCACCAGUUCUUCAAGUUCGUCGAGAAAAGCUGAAAAUAAGUAUGCAGGAGGGAACCCAGUCUGUGUGCGCCCAACUCCCAAGCGGCAAAAAGGCAUCAGGGAAUUCUUCAGGCUGUCCGCUAAAGAGUCUAAAGAGGAGAGCCAGAUUCCUGAAGAAGCAGGAAGCAGUGGCUUAGGAAAAGCAAAGAGAAAAGCUUGUCCUUUGCAACCUGAUCACAGAGAUGAUGAAAACGAAUAGAAUUUACUCAUCUGAAUAAUGUCUCCAGUUUUUCCACAUUACUUACAUGUAAAUUCGGGUAAAUGAGUUUGUCCAAUUGGCUUGUUGAUGGGGAAAAAAAAAUUAGGCUAAAAUUUAGCCAUUCUAAAGAAACCAGCUAUGAGAAUGGAGAAUUUUUAUAAUUUGUACAUUUGAAUUGCAUGCUUCCACUUAUGCCCUAUGCUCUCCUUUCUUACCUGUUAAAGCUUCUUCUUAAAGCCAACAUUCCCUGGCACUCUACUUGCUACUCUACGGUCUUUGCUUAGAUUUUUGUACUGAUGCCAUUUUAUGGGCACUGAUUAUGGAAAUGACGCCAUAUUGUUAUGGCAUGUUUGCUUUAAAAAUUUGACUUAGGCCGGGCGUGGUGGCGCACGCCUUUAAUCUUUAAGAGUGAGUUCCAGGUCAGCCAGGGCUAUACAGAGAAACCCUGUCUUGGAAAAAAAAAAAAAAAAAAAGACUUAGUCUUUUUUACAUUAAAAUUUUCAAUAUUAACUAAAAAAAAAAAUUAAUGGCCACAAAGUAUAAGUAUUCACACUGUUGUACAUCCUUAAAGACCCCCAACAAUGCAGCUUAGGUUUCUGGAGGGUUUUUUUCCUUUUGUUUUGUUUAUUUAAAAGAUUCACUGACUUCAAAUCUAAUGUCUAAACUGGAAACAACAAGUAAACUAUAGAUAUUUAAUUUCUUGUAAUGAAACUGUUUUCAUAAUGCUAAUAAGCAACAUCAAUAAGUAUCAUUCACCAACUGACAGAUGAUAUCAUCCAGCAGCUGAUAUGGAGCUGGCUCACAGAAAUGAAAAACAUACACAGAGAGCCAAUGAGUGAAAUACAUGUGCAACAGACAGUUUUCAGGUUGACCUGCUUUGCUCAGACUGCCUACUUCCUUCUCUGAAAUCUCUCAGUUUCCCCUUUUAUUACCAGUAUUCAUUCAGCCAACUUGUCCUUAUGGAAAGAUUUAACACAAAUAUGGAAACAUUUUUGACACACACCACACACACAUACACACAGACACACAGACACACACAUACACACAGACACACACACACACACACACACGCGCGCGCGCGCGCCAACUCUGUUUCGAUUAGGAAAGGUUUUGUUUUUUUUUUUUUUUCUUUCCUCCCACCAAAAGGUAAUAAGAAGGGGAGGAAAAGCAUUAAGCCUUGGCUAUACAUCAGACUGUCCUGGCUGCCUCACAGUCAAUUUUAAGCAUGAUUAGUAGCUGACCUUUUACCAGACUUUGACUACUUAAUUAAAAAAAAAAAAAAUAAAGCAACCAACAAUGCUCCAAGACUAUGUAUUUUCAUAAACCAAGAACUUUCUUGCAGGUCUGAAGAAUAAGCUCUAUUUCUCUGGUGUUUUAGAAUAUAAAGUUACAACUCAAAGCACUGAAAGCCACUCAGUAUUUGAAUCAUAAGAAUUUUCCAACCUAUCACUUAUUCACCACUCUUAACUGUAUGGCAAAGAGCCAAAGUUCUAAAAUUAGAUCAAAUAAGCAAACCAAAAAGAGUAAAAUUAAGUAUCACAAUUCUUUCUUAAAGGGGACUUGGUUUCCUUCAGAGGAGAACCUGUGGCUGCCUCUAAAUCAAUAGAUACUGUUAUCUUGCAUUAAAUUAUAACAAAUGCAAAUGACAGCAGAGUUCAUAACAAACGCAUUUAGGUAAAGGCUAAGAACAAAGAAGUCUCAGCAAACAAAGUAGGUUAGGCCAGACCUUCAUAGCUAUACACUCACAACUUAUUGUAAGCAUCAAUUGUUAAAGCAGAUGAUGAGACCUAAUACUCCUGAGGAAUACUUUAGCUAUUAAUGGUGAAACACUAUAAUAUGCAGUCUUAGGAAUGUAUAUGACUUAUAAGGUGUGUGCUUUUGCAGUUACACACAUACACCCCUACCCUGUCUACGCCUUUUUUUCUGUUUCCUGCCAUAGCAACUCUUUUGUGACUCAGCACCUUACUACUGCUUUAUCCCUCCCAGAUAGUCCACUAUUUCAAUAGCUGGAUUCUCCUGUUAUUUUACCUACUGAAAUUCAAGAUGAAUCAGAGUAUCUUCUAAAAAGACACUCAAGAAGAGUCUGAUGAAAAGAAAUGAGAGUAAGAAUGGAAACAUGAAGACCAGCUCAUACAUAUAUGCAAUAUACUGUGAAGACAGGAGUUCCUCACUACCUGAAUUAAACAGACAGUACCCAAACAAGCUGACUACAGACCAAGUGUUCGUGUUCACCAUGAAGUACUUUGUUCUGCUCCUUUCCUACGAUUUUCUUAAAGUAAAAUAUCAUGAGAAA